rnacentral:rRNA from 1 species
GACGAACGCUGGCGGCGUGCUUAACACAUGCAAGUCGAACGAAGAGCGAUGGAAGCUUGCUUCUAUCAAUCUUAGUGGCGAACGGGUGAGUAACGCGUAAUCAACCUGCCCUUCAGAGGGGGACAACAGUUGGAAACGACUGCUAAUACCGCAUACGAUCCAACCUCGGCAUCGAGGAUGGAUGAAAGGUGGCCUCUAUUUAUAAGCUAUCACUGAAGGAGGGGAUUGCGUCUGAUUAGCUAGUUGGAGGGGUAACGGCCCACCAAGGCAAUGAUCAGUAGCCGGUCUGAGAGGAUGAACGGCCACAUUGGGACUGAGACACGGCCCAGACUCCUACGGGAGGCAGCAGUGGGGAAUCUUCCGCAAUGGACGAAAGUCUGACGGAGCAACGCCGCGUGAGUGAUGACGGCUUCGGGUUGUAAAGCUCUGUUAAUCGGGACGAAAGGUCUCUUGCGAAUAGAUAGAGGAAUUGACGGUACCGGAAUAGAAAGCCACGGCUA